GUGUACAAGAAGACUACUGUUCGAGUGGUACGGACGCGUAAGUGCUUCAACAUUGGGCUCAUUUUUGGAGUCUUGCGGGUGGUUUUAGAACCAGAGGCGUCUUUUUAUAUUGCAGCUAGGAAUAGCUGGGAGUGUUUUCGUUAGUGGCCGUCGUUCGGUUCCGCUGAGAAAAUGAGCAGCUACGGUAGGCCGCCGCCAGACGUGGAGGGGAUGACCUCCCUCAAAGUGGAUAACCUGACUUACCGGACGUCGCCGGAGACGCUGCGCCGUGUGUUCGAGAAGUACGGCCGGGUGGGCGACGUGUACAUCCCGCGGGACAGGUACACGAAGGAGAGUCGCGGCUUCGCCUUCGUGCGCUUCUUGGACAAGCGCGACGCCGAGGAUGCCAUGGACGCCAUGGACGGAGCGCUGCUCGACGGACGCGAGCUCCGCGUGCAAAUGGCCCGCUACGGACGGCCGCCCGAUUCCAUGUACAGCCGGAGAGGUGCUCCGCCGCGACGGCGUUCAGCGAGCCCUCGCCGCCGCAGGCGCAGUCGUUCCAGGAGCAGGAGCCGCUCCAGGAGCCGCCGUCGCUACAGCCGCUCCAGGUCCCGCUCCUACUCCCGUUCCAGGUCUCGGUCCAAGUCCAGGACUCCCAGGCGAAGCAAGUCCAAGACCCCCUCCAGGUCAAGGAGCCGGACCCCGGCGUCCAACCGCGCGUCCCGAUCCAGGUCCAAGUCCAAGAGUCGACCCAAGUCUCCGGAGGACAACGGGACGGAGCCUUAGCCUAAAGUCGGAUGCGACGUGACGGUAUUUAGCGGGAUGGGUGGAAUGUCAAUGAAUACAUACGUGAACAGAUGCUGAGUGUUCUGCUGUCUUGAGGUUGUGUUUUGUGAAGAGAAAAAAUUAUCAUAAGCAACCAAGUCAGCAAAACUGUGACUAUUUUAGAAAUGCAAUAACCAAGAUUAAUUUUUCUGAAGCAUGUGUGUUCUUAAAGUCAAUCUAAAACACAUGCAAACGAGGGUUUGAAUUGGGCUAAUGUGAGUGUAUAUGGGUGUGCUUCACUCCAAACGUUCACCUAAAUGUGGAAUUCUUUCCUCCAAGCUGCUGAGUCCUGUUUGCAAAGAGAGGAGGAGGAGAUGGGGGUGUGGCAGUAUGAGAGCAGUUGUAGUGUGUGACCCGCCCAUGUCACCUGCCUGUUGCUGGGGGGGCGAUGGCAGUUGCUCGGGAGCAGGUCACCCAGGCAACGCUUGGUUGCUCAGGAGCAGGUCGCCACGGCGGUGGUUGCGGGGCUGUCAGUUGGUGUUUGUGGUGUUGGUGAGGUACGUUCGCGGGGCCGUGGGCAGGCGUGCCCGGGGCUGGUGCCCCCCCCCCCCCCUGCCUCCUGUGCUUUGCCCUCCUGCCUCUCAACCCAAAGGUUUGUUUUUAAAUAACGUCCAGAGUGCAAGAGUCCUGUGUAGAGCUAGACUUUUGGGAAUGUGGUACUCCGGAAGGUGCGUAAACUUCAUAACUGAGGUGCGCUCGCACAGUGUUAAAUAUUUGGGUUCGGAGUUAAGAUGGCAUCUUUUCGGGUGUUCUCUUGUUAAUUCCGAUCCCUCUUCUCUUGCAGAUUUCUCAGACAAUUACUCCUUUUUGCUGAGGACAUCGGGAUGAGUCUCGCCACGUUCAAGGGGACUCCACUAUUGCCACUGAACGCAGACUGAAAGGCGCAGUUGUGUAGCAGUUGAGUAAUGCUGGUUAGCUGUUAAGAUGCGGUGCAGUGCGGUGGUGACAUGGUGUGGCGUGUUGCGGUGCUGAGUGCCCGGGCACUGUUCCGGGGCGCUCGACCCUCCGCUGCUGUUUACCGGUUUGUAAGCUCACAGGUGUGGCAGAUUUUUUUUUUUUUUUUUUUUUUCCCCAUCCCCUCCCUCCUCGUCCUGACGACCUCUUGAGUCCCCCUCCUGUGUGCUUUACAGCUCUUUAUCCCUUUUUAUAUUUCCUCUACCCAUGUCUGGUUCAUCUUUUUUUUUUUUUUUGGGGUCCAGUGUGGCUCACGGUCUAAGGGUUGAUAAUUUAAGAAAGAAUAACUGCAGUUCCAGAUGUCUCGUCACACCUUUUUGUGCAACGCAUUCCCAGUUAACCUCUUGGAUUUUCUUUAGGUGGAUGCUAAUAAACGUAUUUGUUGAAAAUGA